rnacentral:lncRNA from 1 species
UUUAUUUCUGUGGUCAGAAACUGAUACUUUUUUGUCGGCUACAUUUUUUUAUUCUUAUUUCUUCCUGAGUUUCAAAAAAGAAAAAUUCUUAUUUCUUCUUAAAAUGUUUUUUUUUUCUGACAACUGCUUCCUAAAAUGUUUAAAACGGAAAGAGCACAUUAAAAGAAAACAAAACUUAGGUUCACUACACCUUUUAAAACCAAUCAAAGUGACAUAUAAAUUAUUAAUUAAAAUCAUUAAAUUAAAUAAAAAAUAAAAAAUAGUUGAAAAAAAAAAAAUAAAAAAUAAAAAAUAGCUACAAAAAAAUAAAAAUGAUAAUUUUAACGACGUUAACGCUUCCAGCAAAACUGUAAACCCUAAAUUUUAAAUUCUAAACUUUAAUAUGUUGUGUGAUAGAAAUUGUGUAUUUUAAAGUUAAUAUUCCCUCUGUUUUUAAAAGAUGCAUAUUCUA